rnacentral:rRNA from 1 species
UACGGAGAGUGCGAGCGUUGUUCGGAUUUAUUGGGCGUAAAGGGCGUGUAGGCGGAUCGGUAAGUCUAUAGUGAAAUCUCCACCGCUUAACGGGGAAACUGCUGUGGAUACUGCCGGUCUCGAGGGCAUUAGAGGAGAGUGGAAUUCCUGGUGUAACGGUGGAAUGUUUAGAUAUCAGGAAGAACACCGGUGGCGAAGGCGACUCUCUGGGAUGCACCUGACGCUGAGGCGCGAAAGCCAGGGGAGCGAACGGG